rnacentral:rRNA from 1 species
AGCGAACGCUGGCGGCAGGCUUAACACAUGCAAGUCGAGCGGGCAUCCUUGUGGUGUCCGCGGCAGACGGGUGAGUAACGCGUGGGAACGUGCCCUUCGGUUCGGAAUAACUCAGGGAAACUUGAGCUAAUACCGGAUACGCCCUUUUGGGGAAAGGUUUACUGCCGAAGGAUCGCCCGCGUCUGAUUAGCUAGUUGGUGAGGUUACGGCUCACCAAGGCGACGAUCAGUAGCUGGUCUGAGAGGAUGAUCAGCCACACUGGGACUGAGACACGGCCCAGACUCCUACGGGAGGCAGCAGUGGGGAAUAUUGGACAAUGGGGGCAACCCUGAUCCAGCCAUGCCGCGUGAGUGAUAACAGCCUUAGGGUUGUAAAGCUCUUUUCUCCGGGACGAUAAUGACGGUACCGGAGGAAUAAGCCCCGGCUAACUUCGUG